rnacentral:rRNA from 1 species
UACGAAGGGGGCUAGCGUUGCUCGGAAUCACUGGGCGUAAAGCGCACGUAGGCGGCAUGGCAAGUCAGGUGUGAAAGCCCCGGGCUCAACUCGGGAACUGCAUCUGAAACUGCUGUGCUUGAGUCCUGGAGGGGGUAGUGGAAUUCCCAGUGUAGCGGUGAAAUGCGCAGAUAUCAGGAGGAACACCGGUGGCGAAGGCGGGUCUCUGGGCAAUAACUGACGCUGGAGGAGCGAAAGCCGUGG